rnacentral:lncRNA from 1 species
UGUUUUCCGCAGCGGGAGGAAGCACUGAAACAACACAAAACCCUAUCUCAAGAACUUGUUAACCUCCGGGGAGAGCUAGCCUGUCUUCCAGGAGUCUUCAAACACACUGGAAUCAAUGGACUCUUGCAAGCCGUAACAGUUAUACAAUUUAUCUGCAAAGUUACUGUGGUCAGGCACUGGGUCACUGCUUCAACCACCUGUGAGAAAUUAGAAAAAGCCAGGAAUGAGUUACAAACAGUGUAUGAAGCAUUCGUCCAGCAGCACCAGGCUGAAAAAACAGAACGAGAGAAUCGGCUUAAAGAGUUUUACACCAGGGAGUAUGAAAAGCUUCGGGACACUUACAUUGAAGAAGCAGAGAAGUACAAAAUGCAAUUGCAAGAGCAGUUUGACAACUUAAAUGCUGCGCAUGAAACCUCUAAGUUGGAAAUUGAAGCUAGCCACUCAGAGAAACUUGAAUUGCUAAAGAAGGCCUAUGAAGCCUCCCUUUCAG